rnacentral:rRNA from 1 species
AGCAGCCGCGGUAAUUCCAGCUCCAAUAGCGUAUAUUAAAGUUGUUGCAGUUAAAAAGCUCGUAGUUGAAUUUCGGGAUCAGUACGUUGGUCGUGCCUUGGUACGUACUGGCGUCACUGGUUCCUACCUUCUGACGAACCGUCAUGUCAUUAAUUUGGUGUGGCGGGGAAUCAGGACUGUUACUUUGAAAAAUUGAGUGUUUAAAGCAGGCUCGCGCUUGAAUACAUUAGCAUGGAAUAAUGAAAUAGGACGUUCGAUCCUAUUUUGUUGGUUUCUAGGAUUGACGUAAUGAUUAAUAGGGAUAGUUGGGGGCA